UGUCCAGACUCCUACGGGAGGCAGCAGUGGGGAAUAUUGCACAAUGGGGGAAACCCUGAUGCAGCGACGCCGCGUGAGUGAAGAAGUAUUUCGGUAUGUAAAGCUCUAUCAGCAGGGAAGAUAAUGACGGUACCUGAGUAAGAAGCCCCGGCUAACUACGUGCCAGCAGCCGCGGUAAUACGUAGGGGGCAAGCGUUAUCCGGAUUUACUGGGUGUAAAGGGAGCGUAGACGGCAUGGCAAGUCUGAAGUGAAAGCCCGGGGCUCAACCGCGGGACUGCUUUGGAAACUGUUAAGCUGGAGUGCAGGAGGGGCAGGCGGAAUUCCUGGUGUAGCGGUGAAAUGCGUAGAUAUCAGGAGGAACACCGGCGGCGAAGGCGGCCUGCUGGACUGAAACUGACGUUGAGGCUCGAAAGCGUGGGGAGCAAACAGGAUUAGAUACCCCCGUA
rnacentral:rRNA from 1 species